rnacentral:rRNA from 1 species
CUUUCUUUGCUGGCGACCGGCGCACGGGUGAGUAACACGUAUCCAACCUACCCUUUACUCGGGGAUAGCCUUUCGAAAGAAAGAUUAAUACCCGAUAGCAUAAUGAUUCCGCAUGGUUUCAUUAUUAAAGGAUUCCGGUAAAGGAUGGGGAUGCGUUCCAUUAGGUUGUUGGUGAGGUAACGGCUCACCAAGCCUUCGAUGGAUAGGGGUUCUGAGAGGAAGGUCCCCCACAUUGGAACUGAGACACGGUCCAA